rnacentral:rRNA from 1 species
AGUGAACGCUGGCGGCGUGCUUAACACAUGCAAGUCGAACGAGAACGGAUUAUAGCUUGCUAUAAUUGUCAGCUAAGUGGCGCACGGGUGAGUAAUGUAUAGGUAAUAUGCCUCUUACUAAGGGAUAACAAAUGGAAACGUUUGCUAAUACCUUAUACUCCUUAUUAACAGAAGUUAAUAAGGGAAAGAUUUAUUGGUAAGAGAUUAGCCUGUAUUGUAUCAGUUAGGUGGUGGGGUAAUGGCUUACCAAGACUAUGACACGUAACUGGGUUGAGAGGAUGAUCAGUCACACUGGAACUGAGACACGGUCCAGACUCCUACGGGAGGCAGCAGUGGGGAAUAUUGCACAAUGGACGAAAGUCUGAUGCAGCAACGCCGCGUGGAGGAUGACACAUUUCGGUGCGUAAACUCCUUUUAUAUGAGAAGAUAAUGACGGUAUUAUAUGAAUAAGCACCGGCUAACUCCGUGCCAGCCGCCGCCGUAA